UACGGGGGGGGCAAGCGUUGUUCGGAAUUACUGGGCGUAAAGGGCGCGUAGGCGGCCCGCGCAAGCGUGCGGUGAAAGCCCGGGGCUCAACCCCGGGUCGGCCGUGCGGACUGCGGGGCUCGAGCACUGUAGGGGCAGAUGGAAUUCCGGGUGUAGCGGUGGAAUGCGUAGAGAUCCGGAAGAACACCGGUGGCGAAGGCGGUCUGCUGGGCAGUAGCUGACGCUGAGGCGCGACAGCGUGGGGAGCAAACAGG
rnacentral:rRNA from 1 species